rnacentral:rRNA from 1 species
UACGUAGGGUGCAAGCGUUUAAUCGGAAUUACUGGGCGUAAAGCGUGCGCAGGCGGUUUUGUAAGUCUGUCGUGAAAUCCCCGAGCUCAACCUGGGAAUUGCGAUGGAGACUGCAAGGCUAGAAUCUGGCAGAGGGGGGGUAGAAUUCCACGUGUAGCAGUGAAAAUGCGUAGAGAUGUGGAGGAACACCGAUGGCGAAGGCAGCCCCCCUGGGCCAAUACUGACGCUCAGGCACGAAAGCGUGGGGGAGCAAACAGG